UGGGGAAUAUUGGACAAUGGGCGGAAGCCUGAUCCAGCAAUUCCGCGUGGGUGAAGAAGGUCUUCGGAUUGUAAAGCCCUUUCGGCGGGGACGAUGAUGACGGUACCCGCAGAAGAAGCCCCGGCUAACUUCGUGCCAGCAGCCGCGGUAAUACGAAGGGGGCUAGCGUUGCUCGGAAUUACUGGGCGUAAAGGGCGCGUAGGCGGCGCAGUUAGUCAGGCGUGAAAUUCCUGGGCUCAACCUGGGGACUGCGCUUGAUACGGCUGUGCUUGAGGAUGGAAGAGGCUCGCGGAAUUCCCAGUGUAGAGGUGAAAUUCGUAGAUAUUGGGAAGAACACCGGUGGCGAAGGCGGCAAGCUGGUCCAUUACUGACGCUGAGGCGCGACAGCGUGGGGAGCAAACA
rnacentral:rRNA from 1 species